UAUUUAACUCCGCCUGUAUUCCCUUCGGGGGCUACUGCCGGUCGCAAGCCCGGGUAAAGGAGGAGGGUUGG
rnacentral:ribozyme from 2 species